rnacentral:lncRNA from 1 species
UUCAGACGUUUGCUCUUCCGAAGUAUUUCUGUCCAAAGUGAUUAGGUGCAACUGGAUGAAUCUCAGAAGUCAAGAUUUUCAUCUAUACGAACAAAAAUUCAUUUUCGUUCAAAUUCAGACGUAUCUCAACACUUACCUGAGGAAAGGCUGUUACUAUUGUUUGGGUUGCUGGAGGAGUACAGAAAAGGUUAGC